UGCAUUAUUGUAUUGAUGCUGCGUUUAUCUUUGUCUUUCUCGAUUAUUUUUUACUGAGGUUCUGCUUAUUUUUACGUGCCCAAGUUGUGUAGAGUUAUUGAAUCAAAGCUCACUCAUAAAUCAUCGUCAUUCAGAUCUUGAGCAUCUUGAUAAUUUAGGUUCUCAUCUUCGUAAUUAUCAUCUCCCCCUAAGCUUUGGGACCUUUCUGGACUUGGAUUAGGACUCGGAUUUUCAAUCAUAUCUUUGUCUUGUUUUUUUUUUCUUGAAAUUUUUUUCUAAUGUCCGUUUAAUUAUGGCUUCUAUUUUCUAUUUUUUUUUUCUUUUCGGAAAUUAUACUCUUCAUUUUUAAUGCUUCUCCCUGUGUUAGUGUUUUAGGUAGUCUUCGUCUUGAUGAGCCUUCAUCUUCACUUUUUGGCAAAGUGACAGACAUAAACGGAUUUGAUAAGUUUUUAC
rnacentral:lncRNA from 1 species